GAUGAACGCUGGCGGCGUGCCUAAUACAUGCAAGUCGAGCGAACAGACGAGGAGCUUGCUCCUCUGACGUUAGCGGCGGACGGGUGAGUAACACGUGGAUAACCUACCUAUAAGACUGGGAUAACUUCGGGAAACCGGAGCUAAUACCGGAUAAUAUAUUGAACCGCAUGGUUCAAUAGUGAAAGACGGUUUUGCUGUCACUUAUAUAUGGAUCCGCGCCGCAUUAGCUAGUUGGUAAGGUAACGGCUUACCAAGGCAACGAUGCGUAGCCGACCUGAGAGGGUGAUCGGCCACACUGGAACUGAGACACGGUCCAGACUCCUACGGGAGGCAGCAGUAGGGAAUCUUCCGCAAUGGGCGAAAGCUUGACGGAGCAACGCCGCGUGAGUGCUGAAGGUCUUCGGAUCGUAAAACUCUGUUAUUAGGGAAGAACAAAUGUGUAAGUAACUAUGCACGUCUUGACGGUACCUAAUCAGAAAGCCACGGCUAACUACGUG
rnacentral:rRNA from 1 species